UUUGCUUUAUAGUAUUAUUUUAUUUUCUCAAUCUUUUUUCAUAGUGGUGUUAUAUGAUAGCCCUAGAUCCCCGUCUCCAACUUCACGAGGGGUAAUAAUUAAUCGGAUGGAGGAGGUUGAUUGUAAGUCCUUGUUUUUUUUUUCUUUUGCUUUACAAUAUUAUUAUUAUUUUUUUUCUUUUUUCUUAGCGGAAUGUGAGGAAGAUGAUUAUGAAUCUUCAUCCUCCUCCUCCUCCUCCUCAUCCUCCUCCAACAUUAGGAGGAUCAUAGACGAGAUGGAAAUGCGGGAUCUGGGGUUAUAUGAUAGCCCCAGAUCCCCGUCUCCAACUUCACGAGGGGUAAUAAUUAAUCGGAUGGAGGAGGUUGAUUGAUGUACAAACAAGGUAAUGGGGAUGGGCGGUCCAGGAUAUGUAGUGACUUAAAAAAAUAAAUAAUAAUAAAUGUAUGUCUUAAACAAAUCAUUUUGUUGUUUCUAUUUCACCUUACAGCCAUCAAUUCAAUCCGUGUAAAUUCAAUUAAAUGAGUAAAUGAGUUUUAUCUAUUUGUAAUUUUUAUUUUAAAAUGUGUAAAUAUAUUUAAAUUGGGUUAAUUGAGAAAAUUAAAUUGUAUUAUUUAAACCUUUUCCGCCUUUUAUUUAAAUGUAUUUUUUUCCACGUACAUCAUUUUUGUUACUGAAAAUGCAUUAAAACAAUUUUAUAAUUUGUAUUAUUUUUUUACUUCCUUAAUAUUAAUUAUACAAUAGCAUUUCAUUUAGGUCAAUUAUUCCAUUGCUCGGCAUUAUUGCAGCCGCUAGGUAAUUUGACACUUCCGUCGGCGAGGUGUAUUGCACCUUGGCGAUGCGCCGCGUUGUAAUUUUACACCACUUCCGCCCGACGAGGAAAGCAUUGUAUCGCGUAAUUCAUAAUCAGUUUAACUUUAGAAACCGAACGCGUCAAACGUAAACCGCGCGCAAUGUCUCUGUGUUUUUUUUACGAUCUUUGUGAGUUUAAACUAAAGAAAAAAUUUAUUCGAAGUUGAGUUGGAUGAAUUUACCCUAUCUAUUGUUCAUGGAAAAAAACGUCUUACGAGCCACCAUGUCUCGUCGUUAAUCUUUUUUCAAGCAUAUAAUUACAUGUUCUUAAUAAUUUAUUCAGUUUGGCAGCUAUUUGUAAGCUAACAAGUUACGUUUUAUUAUUAUUAAUCUACGAAACAGUUGUUCAAGGAACGAACCAUGUCUCGUCUAAGUCAAUUGGGUCAGUGUAAUUUCCUACCGAAAGAGUCAAUUUCUGAGCUUCAACCGGACACUCCAUAUCCAAUUAAGUGCGCGAAACGUCUUAAAACGUGUUCUUGACCGUCCGUGGUACUUGAGUUGGAGGCUGGAUUCAUGAUUUCUUUACCAAGACGCAUCGCUGAAGAUAUUGCUGACGAGGAAAUCAUCGAACUCAGGAAAAUGUGCAUAAUUUAUAAGGGUGCAAAAGACAUCGGUAAAACUCACCCUGUAUAUUUAUUGGAUUUCAUCAAGAAACCUGAAACGUAAAAAAUUUCCUACCGAUGACCCUGAUGUUCAUCUGUAUGUAUAUAAAUUUCAUA